GGAACACCCUCGACGAUCACCCAGGGGACGAGGACGGGGGACCCACGUCCUCCACGGACAACCGGGAAGUUGUAGCGGCUCACGAAGCCGCCCCGACUUCCCUUGGGGUUAAGCCCAAUUGCUCAUUCCGAGGAGUGAGCGAAAAGGCCGGGCUACCUCUCAGCCCGAACCCGACAGCUGACCUCGCAGGCGCGUGUGGAGAGGAUUU
rnacentral:sRNA from 2 species